GGGGUUGUAGCUCAGUGGUAGAGCACUCGCCUCUCACGUGCGAGACCCUGGGUUCAAUCCUCAACACCA
rnacentral:tRNA from 1 species